UACGGGGGGGGCAAGCGUUGUUCGGAAUUACUGGGCGUAAAGGGCUCGUAGGCGGCCAACUAAGUCAGACGUGAAAUCCCUCGGCUUAACCGGGGAACUGCGUCUGAUACUGGUUGGCUUGAAUCCGGGAGAGGGAUGUGGAAUUCCACGUGUAGCGGUGAAAUGCGUAGAGAUGUGGAGGAACACCAGUGGCGAAGGCGACUCUUUGGUCUGUAACUGACGCUGAGGCGCGAAAGCGUGGGGAGCAAACAGG
rnacentral:rRNA from 1 species